rfam:Candidate division Zixibacteria bacterium RBG_16_50_21 RBG_16_scaffold_1689, whole genome shotgun sequence.
GCCGGAGUGGCGGAAUUGGUAGACGCAAGGGACUUAAAAUCCCUCGCCUAUAACCUGGGCGUGCCGGUUCAAGUCCGGCCUCCGGCA